CGGACGGGUGAGUAACGCGUGGGCAACCUGCCUUGUACAGGGGGAUAACAGUUAGAAAUGACUGCUAAUACCGCAUAAGACCACAGCACCACAUGGUGCAGGGGUAAAAACUGAGGUGGUACAAGAUGGGCCCGCGUCUGAUUAGCUGGUUGGUGAGGUAACGGCUCACCAAGGCGACGAUCAGUAGCCGACCUGAGAGGGUGACCGGCCACAUUGGGACUGAGACACGGCCCAA
rnacentral:rRNA from 1 species